UCACCAACAAGCAUUUGUCCAGGGCUUGUUAGGUGUGGGCUCUGUGUUAGGCUGGUGGGAAAACAAAGAUAAAUACAACCUCUGCCUUCAAGGAGCUUACCAUACAGCAGGAAAUUGGCGCCCACAUUGUGCUGAAAGAGCGUUCCAUAGGAGCUGUCCCUUGGGUAUGAAGUAAGAAGAACCUAGAUCAUAACAGUGCAACUUUAAAAAUGGAAAAGAAGGGGUGAAUCCAGAAACAUCCUCAAGAAGGAACUGAUUGACCGGCUAUGGGGAAGGAGUGAAUUAGAAGCAGCAAAAAUGCCUGAGGUUUUUAACCUGAAGGUGUCACUGACAAGGAAAAGGAAAUCAGGAAAGGAAAAAAGAUGAACGCUAGAACAAAUUAUUUCUUAGUAAUUAUACAAGAAGGUGGGUCAAAGCUAUGUUUUUCUCCAAAGAAGGAAAAAU
rnacentral:lncRNA from 10 species